UGCCUUGUCUUUAAUGUCUAUUAGUAUCC
rnacentral:piRNA from 1 species